rnacentral:rRNA from 1 species
UUGCUCUGGUGGCGAGUGGCGAACGGGUGAGUAAUAUAUCGGAACGUACCCUAGAGUGGGGGAUAACGUAGCGAAAGUUACGCUAAUACCGCAUACGAUCUAAGGAUGAAAGUGGGGGAUCGCAAGACCUCAUGCUCGUGGAGCGGCCGAUAUCUGAUUAGCUAGUUGGUAGGGUAAAAGCCUACCAAGGCAUCGAUCAGUAGCUGGUCUGAGAGGACGACCAGCCACACUGGAACUGAGACACGGUCCAGACUCCUACGGGAGGCAGCAGUGGGGAAUUUUGGACAAUGGGCGAAAGCCUGAUCCAGCAAUGCCGCGUGAGUGAAGAAGGCCUUCGGGUUGUAAAGCUCUUUUGUCAGGGAAGAAACGGUGAGAGCUAAUAUCUUUUGCUAAUGACGGUACCUGAAGAAUAAGCACCGGCUAACUACGUGCCAGCAGCCGCGGUAAUACGUAGGGUGCAAGCGUUAAUCGGAAUUACUGGGCGUAAAGCGUGCGCAGGCGGUUUUGUAAGUCUGAUGUGAAAUCCCCGGGCUCAACCUGGGAAUUGCAUUGGAGACUGCAAGGCUAGAAUCUGGCAGAGGGGGGUAGAAUUCCACGUGUAGCAGUGAAAUGCGUAGAUAUGUGGAGGAACACCGAUGGCGAAGGCAGCCCCCUGGGUCAAGAUUGACGCUCAUGCACGAAAGCGUGGGGAGCAAACAGGAUUAGAUACCCUGGUAGUCCACGCCCUAAACGAUGUCUACUAGUUGUCGGGUCUUAAUUGACUUGGUAACGCAGCUAACGCGUGAAGUAGACCGCCUGGGGAGUACGGUCGCAAGAUUAAAACUCAAAGGAAUUGACGGGGACCCGCACAAGCGGUGGAUGGAUGUGGAUUAAUUCGAUGCAACGCGAAAACCUUACCUACCCUUGACAUGGCUGGAAUCCUUGAGAGAUCAGGAGUGCUCGAAAGAGAGCCAGUACACAGU